AAACACUGGAUCAAUUAAAAAAUUUGUUCCUGCAGGUCAAAUGCUUCAAUUGAUUCUUCAACUGAAUAGUUUUUCCUAUCCUAUGGAUCAAAAUCCCAGAGAAGGAAAGGGACGGGGGCAGGGUAUACUUGAGAAAGCCCCAGGAGAAUCAAAAUCAUCACAUGUCAAUCAGAAAAAUAAAAGGGACUUUGGAAGUUUUCUAAUUGACCUCUCUCAUUU
rnacentral:lncRNA from 1 species